rnacentral:rRNA from 1 species
GUGUCGAUGAAGAGCGCGGCCAACUGUGUGAAUUAAUGUGAAUCGCAGACUGCUUUGAACAUCGACCUCUUGAACGCACAUUGCGGCCGUAGGCUUGCCUACGGCCACGUCUGGCCGAGGGUCGGCU